rnacentral:lncRNA from 10 species
GUAGCUGGACAUCGUGAGGAGCGCAUCCGCGGAAGUAGACACAAGCGGCUGGUCAGUCGCCUGGUCAUGGAGAGCCCACAGGGAGAAGAGCCACUGGGAGGCUGGCAGGCCAUUGACUGGCGGAAGGACGCGUAGUUUGGACUGAGCAGUCAGAGAAAAGCUAGAAGAGCCGGGCCGCAGAGCAGCCUGACUCCAGGGCAUCAGGCAAGAGCCUACCAAGGAGUUUGUGAGUUUUUAAAAAGGUUUUUACUUCGAGUGACAAGGUCAGCAAUAGAACACUCUCACACCAUUAAGAUCCUAACUGGUUAAAAGCCUUACAGUGAUAUUCAGAAGCUACUUUUCAGAAGAAACCAACCAACAGCAAAUGAAAUCAGAUUUCUUGAGGAGAGCCCUGGGAGGCAGGUGGAUUAAUGGGGAUCAUCUUAUUGGAAAAGCAAGAAAACACUCCUGCGAUACAGUCCGGAUGAGUGCAGGUUAUAGAUGAAUCUUUAAGAAGAUGCUGUCAUGUUUAUUACAUCCCAUGGUUUCAAAACAUAUUUCCUCCCCCAGAGGUUCAAAGAGGAAAAAAAAAUUAAGAGCUUCAAAAACAACAGAAUUGCAGGCCUUCAUUUAUUUUUACAGUUCACUGGGUCUGUAAUGUAUUAAACAUGAGAGGCUCCUCUAGACCAGCCUGUUUUUAAUAAGUGUGCCUUGCUAAUUCCCCUGCAUUUGCUUAAUGAACAUGAGAGCUGCAGAGCAGAAUCAGGGUGUUCUUGAACCGCAUGCAGCUAAACACAUGCUCGCUUAGGUGUUUGAUGAAUGCAAAGCUGACGUUUAAGGUGUGCUAAGGGAGAUGUCCAAAAUUAUAGAUGUUCCUAUUAAUUUAUUAAUGCAAUUAAUUAGUCAACAAAUAGUUAUUAACUAUAGCUGCUAUUUAUUGGGAACUUGUUAUGAGCCAAGCCUGUGCUAAAACAUUGUUUAAUCAUCACUGAAUUCCUGAGAAGCAGGAACCAUUAUCUCUACUUUCCCAAAGGCACGAUAACAAUCAGAGACAAGAUUUGACUCCAGACCUGUUUUACUACAGAGCCUCUGCUCUAAAUCAGUCUCAUGCUGAUUUAGAGCCACCAAAUUACAGGGAAAUUCCCUGUUGGAGAAUAUAAAACCAUAUAUCUAUGGCCCCUAACUGCUUGCUAUAAGUUUAUGGUAUCUUCACGUACUAGGGCAUACACAUAAACUGUUAACCAGUGACUCAGGACAGCUUGUCAGCUCCCAGUGAUGGCACGGAAAGUAAGUGCUGCAGCAUUCAAGGGUGCGUGUGAUCCUGUCCUGGAGUUACCAAGAAUGUUUCCAACGGGGAAGAUCAUGAACAGGCUUUCUGGUAGUGGUUUUGGGAGAGGAGGCUUGAAGGCAGCCCAGGCUAAUGUUUUCAUAAGUUCUGGGUAGGUUAGAAGGUGAGGGCAGACAGUCUAAAAGCACCUUUGCAUGUGCUUGCAAAAAUCUAAAGAGAAAAGAUUCAUUUCCAUGGUCACUGUAGUAGCUAACGUAGUUUCAAUCUACGGUAACAUAGAUUUUUAACAUAGUUAGAUAACAUAGUAUUUAACACAGUUCAUAUCUAUGGUAACAAGCCUAUAAUAAAGCUAAUAAUACUACCACC